ensembl:lncRNA
UCAGGCCGUCUUGGCCUUUUUGGCUUUGUCAUUUUCAGCUUGCAGGGACUGUACUGUCAUCCCUCUGGUACCAAGAUGGCCGCUGCCACGCUGUUCUCUGUUGAAGUUUUCACUGAGUUCAUCCAUGCUUCUGCCAAGAUCAGUAUGGUGAGGCCAACACACCAGGAGAUGAUUGCCUUGAAGAGAGAGUUUGUUAUUCACAGUUCCCAAGAAGGGACCACACCUUGUGUGUCCACAUUUCCAGGAAGGAAUGGGCAAGACAGGUCUUUAGGUGCUGGGGGUCAAUAAAGGGAAUAAAAUCUGAUUCCUGCCUUCUAAGAGCAUACCGUCUGUGUAAAUAAACUCACCAUGAAUUGAAUGUGAUCAAAGCUUCAGCAGAGGCAGCCUUGGAAGCUAUUGGCAGUGGAAGGAGGUUGAGAAAGCCUGGAUACAAAUGAUUCCUCAUUUCACAGAUGAGGAAAGUGGGAGCCACCAGGGAAAUGCAGGACUGGCUGCAGUCACCCAGCUCUGCUGACAGAACCAGCCUUGGAGCCCAGGCCUCCUGCCACCCGCGCUGGUGCUGCUGGGAUUGCACUGCCCUGGUGGAAGUGAUCUGAAAUGCAAAGCUGGAUGAAGAGACCAGAACAACACGCCCUUGCCUUUAGGGGAGGUGGGCAGGCCAUCUCACAGUGCCUUUGGCCCAGGAGGAAACAUGACCAGCAGUAGAUUAACUGAACUCCCAGGAUUGCAAUGAUGUGUGUGCCUGCGGGAAAAUGAGGGCCUCUCCACGUGGCAGAGAGGAGAAUUCCUCUGGGUCAAGACUUUUACUCACUCCGUGUUUUUUAAUUAGCAACCCUGAUUUUUCUAAGGAUUGCAUUCAAUCAGCAAAUGCUUCUUACAUAACUCCCCACCCGCUGAUCCACUAUUGGACAGCACAGGUCACUAAAAUAUGGAAAAAGAAUGGAAAUUUUGGAUCCUGGUACAUGACAGAAGAUUAGAUGAGGGAAAGAGCCAUGAAAAAGUCAUUCGGAACUAUUUUAAAGAUAUUAAAUGCACUCUGUUCACUACAAUGACCACUAUAUUUUUUGAAUUAAAGAAGACUUUGUUCUAUUUGGCAUAAAGUAUAGCACCAGCUUUUGUGGGGUUUGUUGUUGUUGUCGUCGAUUUUUAAAUGAUGAAGUUAAUGAAAAUCAAAGACUGUCUGGCUGGCAGAAACAAAAUAAAGUCACAUCUGGAAACAGCUGCACUAGUAAUUAAAUGGCAUUUAAUGUGACUAAUAUCAAAAGGCUGGGUUUUUCUCCCGCUGGCAUUAGACAUGCAAAAUUCAGGCUUGCGAGCCGCUCCAUUGUAAUAGUUUUGAGUCAGUGGGUGUUUAGAAGUCAUUCUGAUAUUUAUAAAGAGAAACCCCCAGCGAGCCAUAGAAGGGAAUUUGAGUGAGGGAAAAAAAAUGAACACGAGCUGCGCAGUUUGAAUUUUGAGAACUGGCAUAAAUUUUACAGGUUUUUUCCCUAAGCAUUAACUGUUCAGUGUUUCAGUUCAAUGAAAUAAAGCCCUCUUGUUUCCCAUACCAAUCAGGUGACCUCCUGCCUCGCUGUAAUUAGUGGUAAACUUCAAUAUGCAAGCUAAAAGACCACCUAAUUAAAAAGUGUAAUUAAUUUACAUAGAUCAUUCAAAAUGGCUGGAUGAGAUAGCUUAUGGAGAUAAUGUGAAACUCUUUGAGCUGCUUUUAUUGGCUCCUUUCCCUGCUGUUCCUCAGGUUCUGAGUAUUUUCAUGGGAAUGAGUUUAUCAAAGUGGGAAGGGCCUGGAGGUGAUGAUGUUAGCUAAUCACUGUUAAACAUUUAAAGCUUUGCAAUUAUUUUUAUCAAUUACCCAAGUAUAAAACAAACCAAAAAAAUGGCCUUAUAUUCCUGCUCAGUGCUGAGUGGCCUAAUGUUAUUAGUGAAUUUUUAUUAAGUGCCUGUUGAGUGCUAG